UACGGGGGGGGGCAAGCGUUGUUCGGAAUUACUGGGCGUAAAGGGCUCGUAGGUGGCCAACUAAGUCAGACGUGAAAUCCCUCGGCUUAACCGGGGAACUGCGUCUGAUACUGGAUGGCUUGAGUUCGGGAGAGGGAUGCGGAAUUCCAGGUGUAGCGGUGAAAUGCGUAGAUAUCUGGAGGAACACCGGUGGCGAAGGCGGCAUCCUGGACCGACACUGACGCUGAUGAGCGAAAGCCAGGGGAGCAAAACGGGG
rnacentral:rRNA from 1 species